ensembl:snRNA U4 U4 spliceosomal RNA
GGCUUUGCGCAGUGGCGGUAUCACAGCCAACGAGGUUUAUCCAAGAUGCGAUUAUUGCUAAUUGAAAACUUUUCCCAAUACCCUGCCGUGACAACUUGCAAUACAGCUGGCACUGGCAAUUUUUGACAGUCUUUACAGAGA